rnacentral:rRNA from 1 species
AACGAACGCUGGCGGCAUGCCUAACACAUGCAAGUCGAACGAGACCUUCGGGUCUAGUGGCGCACGGGUGCGUAACGCGUGGGAACCUGCCCUUAGGUUCGGAAUAACUCCCCGAAAGGGGUGCUAAUACCGGAUAAUGUCUUCGGACCAAAGAUUUAUCGCCUUUGGAUGGGCCCGCGUUGGAUUAGCUAGUUGGUAGGGUAAAAGCCUACCAAGGCGACGAUCCAUAGCUGGUCUGAGAGGAUGAUCAGCCACACUGGGACUGAGACACGGCCCAGACUCUGCGGGAGGGGGGGGGGGGGGAAUUUAGGAAGGGGGGGGAAGGCAAGAUCCAGCUAGGCGGGGGAAGGAAGGAGGCCUUGGGGGUAGUACAUUUUUUUAACCCGGGGUGAUAUUGACGGUACCGGGAAAAGAAGCCCCGGCUAACUCCGUG